UAUAAUUUUUUUACCUCUCGGCUACUUUAUAUGCAAUUUCUCUAAUUUCGAGGUUUUAUUUUGGCGUCAGUGUGUUUAACUUCUCUUCUUUUAAAUACUAACACUUCCAGAAUGUAUGGUUUGCCUCGACGUGCAUUUUAGGAAUUUAAGACAGUAACUCAUCUUAAGAUUAUCCAGAGCCAUGAAUCUUGUGAAAUUGUCUGCCGUUGCACUUGGCUUUUGCAUUAUCUUAUCUCUACUAAUAGACAUUCUGAAGGAUUCUCUUACGAUUUACAGUUUCCUGCCUCGUCAAGGCUUUCAUUGCGGGACUUGCCAUAAUGCUGGUUUUGAGCAUUCCCUUGGAAUUCUGGCUGUCGCGCUUCGUAAGGCCCAACAGAUUUCCACCAAUUUCAUCAUCAAUGGAGGAAUAAUUAUGCUCUUUCUUAGAAUAGUAGUUGCAUAUUUCACAAUCGAUCAUCCACUUUUUAACGUAUUGGAGCGAUGGGUUACUUCGUGAAAUGUCUAAUAAUGGUAUUAGCCAGUUGCGCUGUCUCGUCUUUAACCUGCGCUCUGUUCAUCUAUCUAUUGACGGUCUUAUCACCUAUUCAUAUUUUAACAGCAAUUAUCAUCAUUUGUAUCAUUUUUUUCAUCGUUGAGAUAAUACUGAUUCUAAGAUGGGGAAUCUCCUCCCAGAAAGCAGCAACAGACCUCGAAGUUUUAAUUUCAACACAAAUCUAAGAAUGAGUACGGAAAUUCCUUAGAUAUUCCUGCUCUUUUACAUUUAAAUGUGACAAAUUUUUUGUAGUUUUAGGAUUUUAAACUUUGCACAUAAUUUUAAUGCAAUAUUAUAACAUGAAAGACAGAAAGCAUCUAGAGCGCUUCAGAAAUUGAAUGUAAAUGCGCAGUUUGUUUUAAACACUUUAUAAUGUAAUAUUUUAUUAAAUAUUUUCAUUAAAAGAUGGUUUCAUUCUAUCUGUCUUCAUAUUCAAUGUAUGUUUGUUAUGCUGAUGUGAGAAUAAGUCUGU